rnacentral:rRNA from 1 species
UAAGCAUGCUUGGGCGAGAGUAGUACUAGGAUGGAUGACCUCCUGGGCAGUCCUCGUGUUGCAUUCC